GGUCUUUUCAGCUCCAGAGUUCUGGUUGUAAAAGCGCGAGUUUUGUUUUCCCAUAGUGUGGCCUACAGCAGCCAUGGGGACACACGUGCCCCUGCACUCAGGGUCUUCAAUCAGGACUGAACUUCAGACACCAGAUGGCACAUGCCUGUAAUCUCAGCACUUUGGGAGACCGAGGCAGGCGGAUCACUUGAGGUCAGGAGGUCGAGACCAGCUUGGCCAACAUGGUGUACUCCAACAUGAAAACGGAGCAUGCAUGUGAGCUGAGUAGUGACAUGCAACAUGCAUGUCCAUUGAUCCUUGCUGCUCAUUCACAUACAGUGUUCGCGAUGCCCCCUGGACACAGAAUUCCAGUGGACCCACCACGUGUGGGGAUUCAGGGGAGACUCAAAGCAAAUACAAGAUGAGAUGAGGACAUAGACGUGCACAGAGGGAAGAUCAUAGGAGCGCACAGGGGAAGAUGCCAUCUGCAAACCAAGGAGAGAGGCCUCAGGAGAAACCAACCCUGCUCACACCUGGAUCUCGAACUUCUGGGCUCCAGGGCUGUGAAAGAACACAUUUCUAUUGUUUAAGCCCCGCAGUCUGUGGUACUUUGUUAUGGAAGCCCUAGCAAAUGAACACACGUGGUUAGAAAAAAAAUCCAUCAGGAAACAUGAAACAGAGUUCCUUGCUAAAAUGACCUUGGAAGACAUGAUGAGAGAUCAGAAUGCUAGGGCAAGAACAGGAGAUGAGUCUACAAACCUGGGGCAAAACUGGAAGAGUUCUGAGGGCCAGCUCUGCCACGUAGUGGAUUUGUGGUCUUGGGUAAGGUACUUAAUCUCUUGGUGCCUACAUAUUGUCGACUGUAAAAUGAGCUUCAAAUACAGUAUACAUGAUAGAGAUGCCAUCAGAAUUAAAUGAGAUAAUGCUUGCAAAAUGCUCAAUAUGUUAGCUCAUCUUGUUUUUCUGUAGGAAGUAAGAACUCCUUAAGGACUAGCAUCAUGUUUUCUUCUGCUUUGGAAGUAAACUGGAAGCAUGUCUUGAGUGUUAGCCUUUCACUUCAAGGAAACAAAUCUGUGUGGAAGUUGAAGUCUAGUUGGGGAAAACCAGAUACACAAAGGAAGUGAUGAAGCUAGAAUGUGCAGUUCAUCAGUGGAUGCUUACCACUUACCAGAAACUGUGUCAUACACCUGAUUUCAUACCCAUCUCAUUUUAAUCCUCUACAAAGUUAUGAGAUGGAUGUCUUUGCCUCAUUUUCAAAGAUGUGAAAACAAUUGGCUAGAGUGGUUAAAGGAUUUUUCCAGAGCCUGCUGCCAGUAAUUUACGGAGCAGGAAUCAAACCUAGGUGUGUGGGUAUCAAAUUCAUUUAUGCCAUGACUAUUAAAAUAAAACUUCCUUUCAAAUUAUCUUCCUAAUUACCCUGCAAGGCAGGUGAGGACCUAUUGCUAGCACCAUUUUAUAUAUUAGGAAAAUAUGACCCAGGAAAUCCUGAACCAUCCAAGUACGUACCCAAUGUUAAGUGUAAAGCCAACUCAGUUCCAGUGAGGUUUUCUGGCUCGUAAUCUGGUGAUAUUUAGCUACUUAGAUACUGUUUAGAUAUUCAGAUUCUCAGUGAGUGACUCACAAGAUUAUGUCUGCGAACUGUGGCUAGAUUUCAUUUUGAAGGAAGUUUUGGAAUGCCACUUUUCCUGUAUAGGAUGGGAAACCCAUUGAUGUCAGCCACGAUCCCAGGGCAGCUGGAGUGCUGUGGGCCCAGCAUGGGCUUGGGGGUCAGAAGACAGAAUUUUUGCUCUGGUUCUGCCACAAAUUGGCUGAGUGACUUUGAACACUUCAUUCUUCUUGGCCAUGAGUUUCUCAUCUGCAAUUUGGAGAGACUGUACCGAAUAAUUUCCAAAAUCUGUUAAAAAUCUGAUUCUAUGAAAUGGAAUCUCCGGUUGGGCCUAAGAAACUAGUAAGAAGCCCAGAGACGUAUGGAGGUAGAGAUUGCCCUCUGUUAGUCUCAGCAAGAAGGAAAUCACCUUCCCCACAAAAAAAAAACCAUUUUAUAGCUGAAAUUGCAGAGAAGCAGUGGCACAGGCAACAUUGGUGGGUGGGGGAAAAGUCCUUAUUAAAAUCUUGGUUACAGGAAUAAGUCUACUGGGGACUUAAAGAAAUCCCAUUUGCACUCCAAGGAUCAGCAAGUACAAAUCCUACAAGAACUCUCUGGCCAUAGAACAGAGAGUCCUAGAACAAAGCCUGUUUUGAUCCUUUGUCUUGGUUAAGGGUGACACCAUAUCUCCAGCAUAAACGACGACGAUUGCAUUGUUCGCAUGCCGGUAAUAGAAAAGGAAAACACAACCAGGCUGUUUGGUUAGUUUUGGCAUGCACAGUUCAGGGUGGGAAAUGCCCUUGGGUUCUGGCUGACCACCUGUUAUUUAAUUUUUUAAUAAGUGUGCCAGCUUCAAAAUACCAGAGACUCUCCUUGAAGGGUAAUCACAAAGAAUUGAAUGUCCUGGUAUUUGGAACAAGCAUUCUAUCUAGCUUAUUGGCAUCAUAGCCCUUACUGUAAUAUCAGCGAUAACAGCAGUAACCGCAACAAGAGCCCAUGUCAGGUCCCUGGGGAUCUCCCAAAGAAAACCUUUCCAUUUAUAGCAAAAAACAGUAAAGAAGCAGGGAUCUGAGGGGGAAACAUAGAUAGUUUGUUCCCGUGGUAGCACUUCCCUCGGUAUUCUAGUGCGGGAUUAGUGGGCUUCAAAGUGGAACUGCCUCCAGCCUCAGUGGGCCUAGGACCAUGCCCAUCAGUUAUCCACUCUGGUUUUGGAGGUCACUGUGUGAUCUUGGGCUGACCUUGGAAGCUUCUGACUUACCGGCCUGAGGUUCGCAUAAUUGCAGGGCUUCUAUGUUCUGACGGCUAAACUGGAAAGCAUGGUAUUCAUGCUGGAUACCUCGUCCAACAGGUGUCACCAUGUGGUCCAUAGACCGGCAGCAUUAGCAUCCCUCUGGAGCUUGUUAGAAAUGCCCCACCCUAGAUACAGGGAAUAGGAGCCUGAAUAAGAUCCUUGUAACAAGAUCCUGGGGUGAUUCAUUUGCACAUUUUAGUUAGAGAAGCCCUGAAAUGAAACCAUACCACCCUGCAUAUCUGGGAGGUAGAUUAGCCAUUCACUGGCCCAGGACUGUUUGGUUGUAAGAAGAAAGAACUUACUUUGGAAAUUCAAUGGGUACAAUCAGAGCUUUUCUGUUUUCUGCUCUGUGAUAUUACCUCUUUUCAGCCAAAAGGAAAAGGUUCUUUUAUUUAGAAAAAAAAAGUAUUUGGGGAAAAAAUAGCUGAAACAAUUCACAUAAAAGAAAAAAACAUGCUUAAUAUCUCCACUUAAAAACACAUGAAUAAAUAAGUUUAGGUCCUCUUGCAACUUUUCUAAUCCUACCUUCAAAAUUAUCCACUGUUAACCAAUUUCACGGGUAUCCCACCAAAAAUACUAUGCUUAUAUUUGCAUUAUAUACACACACACACACACACACACAAACACACCAGGGAGAUCAUCCUUAAUGAUUGUUUUUCUACAUACUUCCUAAGCUAGGACAAUGAAAACAAAAAUUAGAAGGAGCCCUUUGAAAGGCCUUCCAUUUUAAGUCUAUUGGCAGCUCGAUCUGAGAAGCAUUUUUCUUAAAGAGAUGGGUGCACAGG
rnacentral:lncRNA from 1 species